UUAAGCGACUAAGCGUACACGGUGGAUGCCCUGGCAGUCAGAGGCGAUGAAGGACGUGCUAAUCUGCGAUAAGCGUCGGUAAGGUGAUAUGAACCGUUAUAACCGGCGAUUUCCGAAUGGGGAAACCCAGUGUGAUUCGUCACACUAUCAUUAACUGAAUCCAUAGGUUAAUGAGGCGAACCGGGGGAACUGAAACAUCUAAGUACCCCGAGGAAAAGAAAUCAACCGAGAUUCCCCCAGUAGCGGCGAGCGAACGGGGAGCAGCCCAGAGCCUGAAUCAGUGUGUGUGUUAGUGGAAGCGUCUGGAAAGGCGUGCGAUACAGGGUGACAGCCCCGUACACAAAAAUGCACAUGCUGUGAGCUCGAUGAGUAGGGCGGGACACGUGGUAUCCUGUCUGAAUAUGGGGGGACCAUCCUCCAAGGCUAAAUACUCCUGACUGACCGAUAGUGAACCAGUACCGUGAGGGAAAGGCGAAAAGAACCCCGGCGAGGGGAGUGAAAAAGAACCUGAAACCGUGUACGUACAAGCAGUGGGAGCACGCUUAGGCGUGUGACUGCGUACCUUUUGUAUAAUGGGUCAGCGACUUAUAUUCUGUAGCAAGGUUAACCGAAUAGGGGAGCCGAAGGGAAACCGAGUCUUAACUGGGCGUUAAGUUGCAGGGUAUAGACCCGAAACCCGGUGAUCUAGCCAUGGGCAGGUUGAAGGUUGGGUAACACUAACUGGAGGACCGAACCGACUAAUGUUGAAAAAUUAGCGGAUGACUUGUGGCUGGGGGUGAAAGGCCAAUCAAACCGGGAGAUAGCUGGUUCUCCCCGAAAGCUAUUUAGGUAGCGCCUCGUGAAUUCAUCUCCGGGGGUAGAGCACUGUUUCGGCAAGGGGGUCAUCCCGACUUACCAACCCGAUGCAAACUGCGAAUACCGGAGAAUGUUAUCACGGGAGACACACGGCGGGUGCUAACGUCCGUCGUGAAGAGGGAAACAACCCAGACCGCCAGCUAAGGUCCCAAAGUCAUGGUUAAGUGGGAAACGAUGUGGGAAGGCCCAGACAGCCAGGAUGUUGGCUUAGAAGCAGCCAUCAUUUAAAGAAAGCGUAAUAGCUCACUGGUCGAGUCGGCCUGCGCGGAAGAUGUAACGGGGCUAAACCAUGCACCGAAGCUGCGGCAGCGACGCUUAUGCGUUGUUGGGUAGGGGAGCGUUCUGUAAGCCUGUGAAGGUGUACUGUGAGGUAUGCUGGAGGUAUCAGAAGUGCGAAUGCUGACAUAAGUAACGAUAAAGCGGGUGAAAAGCCCGCUCGCCGGAAGACCAAGGGUUCCUGUCCAACGUUAAUCGGGGCAGGGUGAGUCGACCCCUAAGGCGAGGCCGAAAGGCGUAGUCGAUGGGAAACAGGUUAAUAUUCCUGUACUUGGUGUUGCUGCGAAGGGGGGACGGAGAAGGCUAUGUUGGCCGGGCGACGGUCGUCCCGGUUUAAGCGUGUAGGCUGGUUUUCCAGGCAAAUCCGGAAAAUCAAGGCUGAGGCGUGAUGACGAGGCACUACGGUGCUGAAGCAACAAAUGCCCUGCUUCCAGGAAAAGCCUCUAAGCAUCAGGUAACAUCAAAUCGUACCCCAAACCGACACAGGUGGUCAGGUAGAGAAUACCAAGGCGCUUGAGAGAACUCGGGUGAAGGAACUAGGCAAAAUGGUGCCGUAACUUCGGGAGAAGGCACGCUGAUAUGUAGGUGAAGCGACUUGCUCGUGGAGCUGAAAUCAGUCGAAGAUACCAGCUGGCUGCAACUGUUUAUUAAAAACACAGCACUGUGCAAACACGAAAGUGGACGUAUACGGUGUGACGCCUGCCCGGUGCCGGAAGGUUAAUUGAUGGGGUCAGCGCAAGCGAAGCUCUUGAUCGAAGCCCCGGUAAACGGCGGCCGUAACUAUAACGGUCCUAAGGUAGCGAAAUUCCUUGUCGGGUAAGUUCCGACCUGCACGAAUGGCGUAAUGAUGGCCAGGCUGUCUCCACCCGAGACUCAGUGAAAUUGAACUCGCUGUGAAGAUGCAGUGUACCCGCGGCAAGACGGAAAGACCCCGUGAACCUUUACUAUAGCUUGACACUGAACAUUGAGCCUUGAUGUGUAGGAUAGGUGGGAGGCUUUGAAGUGUGGACGCCAGUCUGCAUGGAGCCGACCUUGAAAUACCACCCUUUAAUGUUUGAUGUUCUAACGUGGACCCGUAAUCCGGGUUGCGGACAGUGUCUGGUGGGUAGUUUGACUGGGGCGGUCUCCUCCUAAAGAGUAACGGAGGAGCACGAAGGUUGGCUAAUCCUGGUCGGACAUCAGGAGGUUAGUGCAAUGGCAUAAGCCAGCUUGACUGCGAGCGUGACGGCGCGAGCAGGUGCGAAAGCAGGUCAUAGUGAUCCGGUGGUUCUGAAUGGAAGGGCCAUCGCUCAACGGAUAAAAGGUACUCCGGGGAUAACAGGCUGAUACCGCCCAAGAGUUCAUAUCGACGGCGGUGUUUGGCACCUCGAUGUCGGCUCAUCACAUCCUGGGGCUGAAGUAGGUCCCAAGGGUAUGGCUGUUCGCCAUUUAAAGUGGUACGCGAGCUGGGUUUAGAACGUCGUGAGACAGUUCGGUCCCUAUCUGCCGUGGGCGCUGGAGAACUGAGGGGGGCUGCUCCUAGUACGAGAGGACCGGAGUGGACGCAUCACUGGUGUUCGGGUUGUCAUGCCAAUGGCACUGCCCGGUAGCUAAAUGCGGAAGAGAUAAGUGCUGAAAGCAUCUAAGCACGAAACUUGCCCCGAGAUGAGUUCUCCCUGACUCCUUGAGAGUCCUGAAGGAACGUUGAAGACGACGACGUUGAUAGGCCGGGUGUGUAAGCGCAGCGAUGCGUUGAGCUAACCGGUACUAAUGAACCGUGAGGCUUAACCUU
rnacentral:rRNA from 1 species